rnacentral:rRNA from 1 species
UACGGGGGGGGCAAGCGUUGUUCGGAAUUACUGGGCGUAAAGGGCUCGUAGGCGGCCAACUAAGUCGGAUGUGGAAUCCCCAGGCUUAACCUGGGAACUGCAUCCGAUACUGGAUGGCUUGAAUCCGGGAGAGGGAUGCAGAAUUCCAGGUGUAGCGGUGAAAUGCGCAGAUAUCGGGAAGAACACCCGUGGCGAAGGCGGCUCUCUGGGACGGUACUGACGCUGAGACGCGAAAGCGUGGGGAGCGAACAGG